CUUGCGGAGGGCUGAGCUCCUCCUCCUGUGCCCUGGUUCACUACUUUGAUUUUCUGCUCUAGAUGCUGCCGGUCCGUCUGUGUUAGGCAAGUUACCUGAAGUGGGAUAUGAUAAAAGAGUCUCUCUUCCAGCUUCAUUUCUAGCCAUCAUCCCUCUGUUCCCUCUCUGACAGGAGGGUGGUAAGAGAGCCUCCUUAUGCAUGGAGCAGAGAGGGACCACCAGAAGAGGAGGCUCUGGGAAAGUGGAAGGUGGUAAAAGGCAUUUGGCUAUUUGCAGAAAUUUGGCUUUGCAGUGUCAGGCCAAUGUUAUAUGCAUGCCAUAGAGGUGGUAUUCCCAGUCUUACAGAGCUUCAUAAUUUUGUCUGUGCUUAUUAUAGCUACAGAAACGCAUUAACUUUAACAUGUUGGCUAAAAGCUUGUGUCCUAUAUUUUCCUCCUGCCAGCCUGGAUCUUGACUUUAGGUUGCAGAUUAGAAAGGACAGCUGAGGCUGCGGGUUCCCCAGGGCAGUCUGUACACGGUCAGAAGUCCCAGAGAUUUACUGGGCUGUCCAUGAUGUGCCUCUCUGAGCACACACCGUGUUUCCUAACCUCAGCAAUCUCAGAGGUUUUAUUUCAGUGAAAGAUGGUGUAUAUAAAUGAUACUUGAUUGAGAAGUACAUAUGCAGGGCUUACGAAACACCAUGUGUGCCUGCACGCGCAUGCAUUAAAAUAACAGGGCAAAGGCAAUUGCGAUGCUGUAUUUACCUUCUGGCUUAGACUGAUAUACCUGCCUUAAGGGACUGCUGGCUCUGGUCUCUUGAAUUCGUUCCUAGAAAAAAUAUCAGUGUGAAGUAUCGUGUUUGUGCUCUCCUAUGGCAAGCAUCGGCGAGUGGUGUGUUCAAACUGAAAUCAAAUGUUUCAUCCAUUUUGGCUAUUUUGGGUGCACUGACAUAUAUGUGUUUGUGGGUGCACCUGGAUUUUUCCUCUCCCUUGGUCAGAAGCAGAAUUUUUUUCUUACUAGUGACAAAGAGGUGGCAGGGAUGGGGGCAGAUCUUGCUGGUACAGUGGUACCACAAUGGUACAAAUGCAGAAAAAGAUGGAAAGAAAGGAAUGGAAGGUGUAAUUACCCCAGGUCAGGGUCAACAUGACGCUACAAGUGCUCUGUACGUAUGUGUUCGAAACCUACACACACAAACACGUAAAAGAAAACAUUCAAGAUGUGACAUCACGUUCUUCUACAGAGCAGCCACAAUUACAUAAAGAAAUUAAUAAGAUUUUCUUUAUGCUGUGGCACUGGCAGCCAGGUCCUCCUCCCUGACUGUGCUGGGGAGAAGAGCGUGUUCAGUGAGAAGAGAUGUGUGUUGACAGCCAGCACGACAGACACGGGUGCAGCACUGCACUGUGCCAGCCAACUGUCGAGAGCUACCAUCACAAGUGGUCAAAGGCAAACCCAGCUACUAGAUUUCGAGCAAAACUCAGGGACAAUGGUUGGGAAAAUACACCUGAAUGCUCCAGAUAUGUUCUUUCCCAGUGCUGUCUGAGGCUUGCUCACAUGGAGAGAUGUGGAUCUGGUUUUGCAUGGGGCAAAGCUGUUAUGUUACCAAACAGGAGGCAUUCUGCAGAGGAGGGAGAGCAGUGCCCACGCUCCUCCGUGGCUGCCAUCUCUCUCCUGUGAUUCAAGAAAAACUGAAAGCAAGCCCUAGAAGUUUUCUCCUUUUCCAUGGUGACACAACAGAACAAAACAGGAUUUCCUUCAAAGCAGUAUCAGGACAGGCUUAGCUGCAUUCUUGCAAGGGUGAAUUCAAAGGCCACAGAGUGGAAUUUCCAAGUGCAUUUCCCUUCCUACACCUUUCUCUUUCAUCUUCAUAAAUCUGUGCCAAUUUUUAUAGAACCUCUUUUUCUAGGAGGGAAUGGGGACAGAAGUUGAUGAGCUAUUCAGAGCUGAAAGCAGAUAUUCAUGCUGCCAGAGGAUUUUCUUCUAGUUUUUCUUGGGGAAAAAGUGGAAGAUUGACAGACUGAGGUGAAGAUUUCUCAGUACCAAUUCUGGAUGGAAAAACAUCCUCUCUGGGAGCUGCAGAGUGCCGCAUCAGGGGUCCAGAUGCCCGGUGUAAAAUCAACAGAAGAGAUUUAUGCAAGCUGAGAGCAUGCAGGAGGACUCAGCGUUGCGGGCCCUGUCCAUUUCAUGAUGCACAGAGCUUCCUUCUCUGCUGCUCUGCAGGCA